ACAUGUGAUGGUAAGGUUACUCCCUUCCUUGACUUGUUGGUCCCCACUGGACUUGGAUGGAAAAAUCCGAGGAGAAACUGCCAAGAAGAUUUAAUAUGAAAACAAUUUGGAAGCAGGAAGCAUGGAGAAGUAAUGAAACCUACCUGGUAAACUACACAACCAUGAGAUUAAUAAAAUUCCAGUCAACAUAUCCAGACUAGGAUUUAAUGACUAGUAAUCCGCAUAAUUAAUUGGAUUUAACACAAGACCAUUCCAACGAGGUUAACUACGAACUGUGUGUUUCAUCACACACACACACAAAAAUAUUCCGUCACUGUGGUAGCGGUAGAGAUCGGACCCCUGUGAAAACGUCUUGGUCGGUUACCCGGGGGUCAUAAACGUGUUGUUCCUUCUGUAACACUGAUCAUAUGAUCGUCAUUUUCAAGUACUCUACAAAUCAACGACCUCAGUAGCUUCGUCCUCUGUACUGGCAGACGACAGUCCUCCACUAACUCCUAUUGAUUUCAGCAGUAACAAGAUGCCGUAUUACACGACACCACUAUUGAUUACAUCAAAACAAUGGCAUCAUUUCGUCACAACAUCCGAAAAUACCUCCAAAUAUUCACCAAGGUACAUAUAACAAAUUAAAGAAACUUCCGGUUCGCAUAGCGCACCUGUUGUGUAGAGAGCACUGGACCGUAAAACGGAACAUUCUAUUCUGCAUUUUCAAAGUACGAAGAUUUUGAUAUACGUGGAAAGUGGUACAUGUAGUUACAAUAUAAUAUAUAGACGUUUCACCAUAUAGACUAUGUAGUAUUUUUUGUAUGUUUUGCAUAUUGUUUCUAUUGAUGCGACUUUUCUUGUCCUCAUGUAUGUUUAGAAAUCAUGCUAAUUUUUUUGUAUCUAUGUCAUGCCCCCAGUGGGACUAUGCUUGGCGAAUAAAUCUAUUCUAUAUAAGUUGUACAGGAUCAUUAAUUUGUUUCACGAUAUUAUUUGUUCGAUGCACAUGUAUUAUUAUACGUAUGUAUAUAUAUGUACACAAACUACA